CUGCAUUUAUUUUACUUUCUUCAUUCUCAUCUUUCCCCAUGGGGGCCGAGUGUGCAGUGGCUGCAAACAACAGCCUCCUUGGUAGUGUAUGCAGCCUGUUGCCUGAAUGGGUUGUCCUAAGGGACCUUGGAGACAGCU
ensembl:snoRNA SNORA70 Small nucleolar RNA SNORA70